UACGUAGGGUGCGAGCGUUGUCCGGAAUUAUUGGGCGUAAAGGGCUCGUAGGCGGUCUGUCGCGUCGGGAGUGAAAACCCAGGGCUUAACCCUGGGCUGGCUUUCGAUACGGGCAGACUAGAGGUAUGCAGGGGAGAACGGAAUUCCUGGUGUAGCGGUGAAAUGCGCAGAUAUCAGGAGGAACACCGGUAGCGAAGGCGGUUCUCUGGGCAUUACCUGACGCUGAGGAGCGAAAGCGUGGGGAGCGAACAGG
rnacentral:rRNA from 1 species